rnacentral:misc_RNA from 1 species
GAUGAAGAACGUAGCAAAAUGCGAUAAGUAAUGUGAAUUGCAGAAUUCAGUGAAUCAUCGAAUCUUUGAACGCACAUUGCGCCCGCCAGGAUUCUGGCGGGCAUGCCUGUUCGAGCGUCAUUUCAACCCUCAAGCCCUCGGGUUUGGUGUUGGGGAUCGGCGAGCCUUUCUGGCAAGCCGGCCCCGAAAUCUAGUGGCGGUCUCGCUGCAGCCUCCAUUGCGUAGUAGUAAAACCCUCGCAACUGGAACGCGGCGCGGCCAAGCCGUUAAACCCCCAACUUCUGAAUGUUGACCUCGGAUCAGGUAGGAAUACCCGCUGAACUUAAGCAUAUCAAUAAGCGGAGGA